AAGUUUGAUCCUGGCUCAGGACGAACGCUGGCGGCGUGCCUAACACAUGCAAGUCGAACGAGCACUGUGUGUUGAGACUUCGGUUGAUUCACACUUUGACUUAGUGGCGGACGGGUGAGUAUGCGUGAGCAACCUGCCUUGGAGUGGGGGACAACAGUUGGAAACGACUGCUAAUACCGCAGAUGUAUUUUAGGGGCAUCCCUUUAAUACCAAAGAUUUAUUGCUCUAAGAUGGGCUCACGCUGAUUAGUUAGUUGGUGAGGUAACGGCUCACCAAGACUGCGAUCAGUAGCCGGACUGAGGGUUGAACGGCCACAUUGGGACUGAGAUACGGCCCAGACUCCUACGGGAGGCAGCAGUGGGAAUAUUGGGCAAUGGGCGAAAGCCUGACCCAGCAACGCCGCGUGAAGGAAGAAGGCCUUGGGUUGUAAACUUCUUUUGGCAGGGACGAAAACAAUGACGGUACCUGCAGAAUAAGCCACGCUAACUACGUGCCAGCAGCCGCGGUAAUACGUAGGUGGCAAGCGUUGUCCGGAUUUACUGGUGUAAAGGGCGCGUAGGCGGGAAAGCAAGUCAGGUGUGAAAUCUAUGGGCUCAACCCAAAACUGCACUUGAAACUGUUUUUCUUGAGUGUCGGAGAGGUAGAUGGAAUUCCUAGUGUACGGUGAAAUGCGUAGAUAUUAGGAGGAACACCAGUGGCGAAGGCGAUCUACUGGACGAUACUGACGCUGAGGCGCGAAAGCGUGGGGAGCAAACAGGAUUAGAUACCCUGGUAGUCCACGCGUAACGAUGAAUACUAGGUGUGGGGGGACUGACCCCCUCCGUGCCGCAGUUAACACAAUAGUAUUCCACCUGGGGAGUACGGCCGCAAGGUUGAACUCAAAGGAAUUGACGGGG
rnacentral:rRNA from 1 species